CCUACGGGGUGCAGCAGUGGGGAAUAUUGCACAAUGGGGGAAACUCUGAUGCAGCGACGCCGCGUGAAGGAAGAAGUAUUUCGGUAUGUAAACUUCUAUCAGCAGGGAAGAAAAUGACGGUACCUGACUAAGAAGCCCCGGCUAACUACGUGCCAGCAGCCGCGGUAAUACGUAGGGGGCAAGCGUUAUCCGGAUUUACUGGGUGUAAAGGGAGCGUAGAGGGAAGAGCAAGUCUGAUGUGAAAGGCUUGGGCUUAACCCCAGGACUGCAUUGGAAACUGUUUUUCUAGAGUGCAGGAGAGGUAAGCGGAAUUCCUAGUGUAGCGGUGAAAUGCGUAGAUAUUAGGAGGAACACCAGUGGCGAAGGCGGCUUACUGGACGGUAACUGACGUUGAGGCUCGAAAGCGUGGGGAGCAAACAGGAUUAGAUACCCUUGUAGUC
rnacentral:rRNA from 1 species